GGAAGGCAGCCGGAUCACGGCUCGCCGGACCGCCCUGGAAAGGCGGGUGCCGCAAGGCACGGAGGGUUCGACUCCCUCGCCUUCCG
rnacentral:tRNA from 1 species